rnacentral:rRNA from 1 species
GAUCCUGGCUCAGGACGAACGCUGGCGGCGCGCCUAACACAUGCAAGUCGAACGAGAGAGAGGGAGCUUGCUUCCUCAAUCGAGUGGCGAACGGGUGAGUAACGCGUGAGGAACCUGUCUCAAAGAGGGGGACAACAGUUGGAAACGACUGCUAAUACCGCAUAAGCCCACGACCCGGCAUCGGGUUGAGGGAAAAGGAGCAAUCCGCUUUGAGAUGGCCUCGCGUCCGAUUAGCUAGUUGGUGAGG